CUGACUGUUGUGAUUGCUGCUUGCUUAUCGCUCAUUCAAGCCAGUUUUGUUGCUGUUGUUGAGAUAAUCUUUACUCCAGCAUUUCAACAUGUGGUGCAGAGACAGAAAUACUCUCCAGAGUCAAUCUAUGCUAUGCCUAGGCAAACAGAUUUUUGGCAGACCUCCCUUUUUGCCUGAGACUGGACAAAAGAAGCCAGCUUCAGGUGAAAAUCCUCCAGGACGUCACGGGCCAAGACCUCCUACCUAUUUAAUGGAUGUGGCAGAGAAAAAUGUCACAGAAUCUUCAUGCAAGUCUGAUCUGAAAGCUAAUGCUCACCUUUCCUUACCCCCACUGCCUAGACUUGCAAGUCAGUUAGUGAGGGUGGACAAACAAACAUCUCUGCAUGAAUGCCCUGUUGCUCUGUCCACGAACAUGCCUGUUCUAGAACAAACCCAUUUCCCUGUGAAACCUCUAGUUGGACAGAACAAGUCAGCUGGACAUUUCUUCUUGCCAGAAGCUGAAGAGAAGACAUCAGUUUCAGGUGAAAGACCUCUGGGGCGUCGAGGGUCCAGACCUACUAACCAUUCAAUGAGCAUGACAAAGAGAAGCAUCAAUGACGCUUUUUGUGAGUCUGAUCGGAAAACUACCGCUCACCUCUCCUUACCCCCACUUACCAGUUUUGCAAGUCGACCAGCGAGGGUGGACAAACGUAUGACUCUGCAUGAACACCACAUGGCUGUGUCCACAAAAAUGACUGUUCUGGAACCAACCCGUGUUCCUGUGAAGCCUCUAGUUGGACAGAACAAGUCAGCUGGACAUUUCUUCUUGCCAGAAGCUGAAGAGAAGACAUCAGUUUCAGGUGAAAGACCUCUGGGGCGUCGAGGAUCCAGACCUACUAACCGUUCAAUGAGCAUGACAAAGAGAAACGUCAUUGAACAUUUAUGUGAGUCUGAUCGGAAAACUACCGCUCACCUCUCCCUACCUUGGCUGCCCAGUUUUGCAAGUCGACCAGCGAGGGUGGACAAACGGUACGUUUGACGAUGAGGAUGUCAAGAUGAAGAGGGCUCUGCCACCAAAAGGAUUUCUCCUCUUUGGUCAGAAGUUUUGAAAAGAAGCUAGACACACUGCUUGAACCCGUUUUACACCUCAGACCCUGCCUUUGAAUUUAUAGAGCAUCCACAUACAAAGAAGACAUGAUGAUGAAAAAAAUUAUAUAUAUAUAAAUAAAAAAUUGUUCCUCAAAAAAAUCUCUUUGUGCAUCAAGUAAAUGUUCCUUAUUCAUGCAUCAAAUUAUUCUUUGUGCAUCAAAGAAGCAGUCCUUUGUGCAUCAAAAAUUGCAUAUUGCCAC
ensembl:lncRNA